rnacentral:rRNA from 1 species
GACGAACGCUGGCGGCGUGCUUAACACAUGCAAGUCGAGCGGUAAGGCCCUUCGGGUACGACGAGCGGCGAACGGGUGAGUAACACGUGGGUGACCUGCCCUCAGCUCUGGGAUAAGCCUGGGAAACUGGGUCUAAUACCGGAUACGACCAAUUGCUGCAUGGUGGUUGGUGGAAAGUCAGUUACAUUUUGUUUCUGGCGGCUGGGGAUGGGCCCGCGGCCUAUCAGCUUGUUGGG